UCCCUUACACACACCUUGUACAUGCGCAGACGGAUAGUUGUUCGCAGCUCACACUUAGCUUCCUCGGCUGCCGUUCUCUUGCUGCUUUUCUUGCGCGUGCGUGCAGCGCCUUUGUACGGCCGUGGACUGGAGUGACCUUACAGACUGUGGGCCCGAGAGUCCACAGAUGCUUGUCAGGAGACAGGCAGUCAGUCUACCGUUGGAGGUAAACAAAUUAGGGUACAGCUUAGGCUAGAAGAAAAACGUCCUGCUAAACUACGGACAACGGAAUGUGCCUCUUGAGAUCAUGUGUUGGAUACACGUGUUCUUAAAACAGCCCCGCCGCUGUGUAGAGCUCUUGCUGUACGCCAGAGCUUUAUCAGAGCUAUUGCACUUAAGCCUCGGGACAGCCUCACGAGGUAGUAUACUGACAAAUGCAGGCUGUCAGCUACAGAAGUGAGAACUGAGGAUCAAAUCCAGGGCCUUGCAUGUGUGAGGUGAGCACUCUACCGCUGAGCCAUAACCCCGGCCCCUAAAAUAGGUUUUAACAUACCAUCAAGGUCACUUUGCCUCAAACUUUUUCACACAAGUAUAGUUAACAGUAUAGAGAGUGAACAAUUGCCUUAAUAUAGUCUUGUCCUAAGCUAUAAUUUUCUUUAGUUUCAAGUUCUAUCUUAAAUUUAAUAUAAACAUUGCAUUUUAAAUCACAGUAUUCCUAUAUUUAGUAUGAAUAUAAUGACUAUGCAUUUUUUUAAAGUCUUGGAGUAAAGUUGAUAUCUAUGAAAAGGCUCCAUAUUUAUUCACUGGCUUUUAAUCCUCAGUCACACUAGAGUUGGACUUUCAGAGACAAGGUUCUAGACUAUUUUGUGGUUCUGUAGCAUGUUCUUUUUCAGUUUUCUUUUACAGUUUAGCCAAGGUUAUUGAUAGUUGUGCAUGGCAGGGAAAAAACUAAUUGAUGUUCACCCCCUUUGAACAUAAGAUUUCCACAGAAACUGAAAAUUCACCAAGUGAAUAUUCAAAAGUAUUUUAUAUAAUCUCACACUUCAUCAAUAUCAAUGCCAUGAGAGUUUAAGUGUAUAAAUAAAGUGAGUUGUUUAAUAUUGGCUAGGACUAUCACCCACCUUUUCAAAGAGUAUCAGUUUUUCAACUAUCCAUGCAUUAUGGCUACUGAGAUUUGGAGACCCUCUCAGGUAUAAUAAUUCUAUUCUCAUGGCUAGCCACCACUUAAGGAGAUUGGAGACUACAUUCAUGAAUAGUGGCAAAACUGGAACUAAAAUUUGAGUUUCUUAACUCCCAGUUGAAGAUCUUACACCAAAAGGAAAUGAAAAGACAUAAUGUACUUCUUCCUGGUUCCACAAACCACUUCACACCAUCCUAAGAUUACUUUGUGAAAGAACAUGCCAUUUUACAGAUAAGAAAACUGAAGCUUAAACAAGUUGGGUUAAAAUAUGUCGAGGAAUCCAGUAUGUAUUCAAACUGAAACAGAGAAGACCUCCAAGGAAAACUUGGAAGUUGGGUACUAAAGGAUGAAGUUCAGAAAGAUCUUGGAAACUAGGUACUGAACUAUUUAUUUAAUUCAGCAAGAAACAAAUUUGAGUCAUUUUUCAGAAUUGAUCUAUUCGCAGUUAGCUUCCCUAAUUAAUUGCAUAUGUACAGCAUAUGCAAUGUCCCUAUGAUGACAACUUCAAUGGGCACCAUUUCCAUUUUAAUGGAUGUAAGGGGCAUGCUAGAAGCCUUGGGUUCAAUUCCCAGCCACUCAAAAUCAAGCAUACAAAAACUAAUACAUUGUAAAGUUAUGUAAAUGAAUUUCUUGAAGCACAGUUGAAAGGCUACAGGUAAGUAUACAUAGGGAUAUAUUUAAAUAUUUUCACAGAAGUGGUGCAACACUCGGACUUGGCCAAAUUGAUUUUAACUUUUUCAUGGGUUUCAUUGUGGAUAAGCACCAAUUUGUUUGAAGGCACACAUCCAUAUUGUUUCUGUGGUAAAGAGAAAGGUGAUGGAAUGGAUGAUCCAUUAAGACUUGUAAGGGGAAAAUGUAUACUUAGGAUCCAAAUUAGGUCUCCCAGGAUUUUUACAACAGUGAUCGUUGCAUAUUCUUCUGAUAACCUAUAGGAUAUUAGGAGUUUCCUUUCCCAAAAAGAAAACACUUGCUGCUCUGAGUAGUAGAGAUGUCUUUCUAAACUUAUCUGGGCGUAAUUUUCCUCAUCUAUAAAAUGAGAGUUGGAUUAUUAUGACCUCAAUGUUUCCUUACUUCACUAAAAUUCUGCCAUCUAUGUAAUGUCCAGAGCUGUUGGG